rnacentral:rRNA from 1 species
AGAUUGAACGCUGGCGGCAUGCCUUACACAUGCAAGUCGAACGGCAGCACGGGGGCAACCCUGGUGGCGAGUGGCGAACGGGUGAGUAAUGCAUCGGAACGUGCCCAAUAGUGGGGGAUAACUAGUCGAAAGAUUAGCUAAUACCGCAUACGACCUAUGGGUGAAAGCGGGGGACUCGCAAGAACCUCGCGCUAUCGGAGCGGCCGAUGUCUGAUUAGCUAGUUGGCGGGUAAAAGCCCACCAAGGCUUCGAUCAGUAGCUGGUCUGAGAGGACGACCAGCCACACUGGGACUGAGACACGGCCCAGACUCCUACGGGAGCAGCGAGUGGGAAUUUGGACAAGUGGCGACAAGCCUGACUCCGAGCCAUCGCCGCGUGACGGGAAGAACGGUCCCUUUACGGGUUACGUAAACCGUCGUUUUAGGACAGGUAACCG